AUUUUAUUGAGAUAUGAAAUAAAUUUAAGCUCAGAUUAGGGUCAUUGUUACACGUCACAGGCGAUUAGUUCAAGGACUGUGAGGAAGUCAGUUUUUCUAGUUUCCUGCUGAUAAAUGGUUGGUUUUGGGUUCAGAGGGUGAAUUAAUUAUUUUUAAUUAUUUUACUGUUUAAGGUGUGUUUAGUAAAGAUGUGAGAGCUGAAUCCCUCCGUCUGAUCAGAGUUCAUGUUAUUAACCGUCGUUCCUACCUCACCGCCUCGUUUUCAUCGUUUUAAUCCAUUCAUCACCUGCUGCUGAGAAAAACUUCACUCUGAAAAUGUGAAAAUAAAUGAAAGAUUACUGUUUGCUGACAUUUAAUCGUCUCUGGUGUCAGUUUAACACAAACCAGCUGUUAAAGUAUUUUAUGUAACAGAAACUGACUUCUGCUAAACCCGACGUGCUUUUCUUUCUCACAGCUAGAAACAAAUCAGAUUCCUUCUAGAUUUUUAGCCGGCUAACGUAACUUUGCCAACGUUCAGCGACAGGUUUUAUGGCUAACUAGGUAACUGAGCUAACAUUACCAACAAAACAUCACGUCCAGUCAACUCUUUCAUGUUUCCAGCUAACGUGUUUCCUAGAAGAAUCCUAUAUAAAGAGUUUUAACGAAGAUCUUGACCGCUGCUUGACGUGCUAAAAUGCUAAGGCAAACUAACUUUCUGAUCCAUGUAUAAAACACAAAACCAAAACACAGUAACUACAUAUUGUUCCAAAUCUAUUUUUUAAUAUUUAUCGGUCACCGCACUACUAGCUAGCUAAGGCUAAUCUAAAUGUGGUCACAGUUAGCCUCAGCUAAAGCUACUUUAGUGACUUUUUCAUACUGUUUUCAGUAAGAGCAAUUAAUUUAGAUUUUACAGCAUCUUGGAUGUUAAAUUAGGAUGAAGCUAAUCAUAAAGGACAAAAGUAAUAUGCAGACUCUAGCUAAAAGCUAACUAGCCUAGCCUAGCCUAGCUUAGAUGUCCAAUUGCAGACUACAGUAGUGAUUUUAUUGAGCAGUUAUGUUUUUCUUUAUGGGAAAUAAUCAAGGUUGUGCAACUUGUAAAGCUUCUCAAUGUCUGUUUUUCUGUUCAAAAAUACACAAACCGAAUCACAGUGACUCCCGCUAGCUAAGGCUAGUCCAACUACAGUCAGCUAAUUUUAGCUAAACAUAAUUUACUGACGUUUCCACGCUGUUUAAAUGUUGACACUCCACCAUCUUAGUAAUUGGAUAAAUAAGGCUAAACCUACUAGUAAUGGAGAGAGGUAACACGCAGAGUCAUGCUAAAAGCUAACUAGCAUAAUUCAGAUGUUUCCAGAAAACUUAAAUAGCUACACUGAUAUCAUGCUAAAAUGCUAAAUAGGUAAAAAAAAAUAAAUAAUAAAUCAAGAUUCUGUUUUACAAACCAAAACAAACUACUACAUGUAUCAUACCUAAUAAAUAUAGCUAAAGCUAAUGAUAAUGGAGAAAAGUGACAUGCUGAGUCAUGCUAAAAGCUAACUAGCCUACUUUACAUGUCCGAUCACAGAGUUUAGGACUGAUUUCGUCUGUUACAUUUUCUCAUUCCAGGUCAUUAAAUUAAGGUUUUACAGCGUUUAAAAAUCCUUUUCUUACACCUUCACUGUUAUUGUUAGCAUUAAAAGGUGCUAACAUUAGCAUAAACCUGCUUCUGAACAGUGAAUGAAUAAUACAAAGCUAUUGUGCUAAGAUUGUUUUUAAUGUAGAGCCACAAGCUAAUGGCGUUAGCCUCAGUUUGAAAGCAACACUUCUAGAACAGCUAAUUAGCCCGACGUGCUAGUAAGUUGCUAAGCUAUAACUGGGCAAUAAACGGCUGCUGGGAUUAGCAGGUUUAGCAAAAGUCAGUUGAAACUGUCACCAUGACGACUAAACGCUACGAAACACAGAAACACUGAUUUAGAGCCUUUAUUUUAAAGCUACAAGCUGUAGAAACUGAGUUAGCAUGUAGCUGUAGCCGUUAGCAUGUGGCUGUAGCCGUUAGCACGUGGCUGUAGCUGUUAGCAUGCUGCUACGAAACCAGCUGUGCCACGUCAACACUUUUUUCCUGUGAAGUUAAAGUGAAUUUGUUCUGGAUGUUUUCUGUGAUUUUAAAUGAAACCAAAUGAAAAUGUGACGUGAAGCUGAACUGAAACUAGCUGAUGAUGUUUGAAUGUCGACUUUUAGGGCACUUUUAUGGAACGAUGGCAUAAAUUAAAGCUUUACACGUGUCUGAACUGUGACUGCAGGUGGUUAGAGUGUAUUUUAUUGUAUGUUUCCUUUAAAUGUGUAGUUUAUUUUCUAUAUUAUGGGAUGUGACGGGAUGAAGUGUGGAGGGAAAUACUGGAGCAUCUUUUACAUCUCUACAGUCUUUUUUUUUUUCAAGUUUUACAUUUUCUCCUGCCGAACCUGAAUUUUUCUGUCCUUUUUCACAUUUAAUUUCCUUUCUAAAUGACCUGAUUUGUAAUUAAAGAACAUUCCAUCUGUGUUUCUUCAUUUUGAGUUUGAUUUUGGACCAAAACGACGAUAAAUUUGGCUCUGACUGGUUCUUUAAAAUAAUCUAAAUGAGAACAAACAGCCUCACUGAUGCUUCUGUUCACUGUAUGUAACAUUCACUAAUAAACAUAAAUAUUAAAUCUGAAGUAAAAUGACUCAUAACAGAUAUACUCACAGUUACAGAAUGUAUUAAAUAAUAAUAACAGUGUGUUCAAUAGUGAACUUGGCUGUAAAUUUAUUGCUUUGCACAAAUAAAAGGUAAAAAUGAG
ensembl:lncRNA